AUAGAUGAAGAAAUAGUGGAUUAGAUAAGGUUUUUUAGUUAAGUUAAUGUGUUUAAUAAAUGAUAGUGUUAAGUGGAUUUUUAUUUAGAAUUGUUGAAUUUCGAGAAUUUGAUUUGUUAAUUAUUGUGUUGUUUAAAUUGGAUUUUUUAAAAAUUAUGUAAGGUUUUUAAAUAAUUUAUUUUUAAAUUUUAUUUAUAUUUUUUUGUG
rnacentral:misc_RNA from 1 species